UUGGUGCUCAAAGUUGGUUGUGGGCUGCUGAAAUGCAAGGUGAUUUAUUGUUUCAUUGUGUUUCAGCCAAUCUGCUCUGUAAUUUAAGAAAUUUUAACCUAUUAAUGUUAAUGUAUAUUUUCAGGAGAGUCGUCUAUAGGAUAUGCAACAUCUAUAAUGAUAUGGAACUCGAAGAUUCGUGUAUUACACGUGAGGUAUAGAAUAGCAGCAGCGUACAUGAGGAUUUGAGAUUCUGAUAUGCUGCAAUCAAAGGUAAUUAGGUUUGGAGGAAUUCUGUUCAAGCAAGCACUUAACAAGCUAUUUUCUUAAGGUGGUGACAUAUUGCUGUUCUACUGGAAUGCACUAUGAAAUUAUUUUGUUGUUCACUUGUUCUUGGAAUCUUGGUCUUAUUAACUGAUGUAUUUUGAGAGAAAUGUUGUACUUUGUAAUCUUUA